UGUCUUGAUGAAUGGCACUGGGCUCCGACAACGGCUACAAAAUUCGCCGGUUUUGAUGGAAAUGCCCCAUUGCGGCAGGCCUAGAAAACCUCGCCCGCUGAUU
rnacentral:snoRNA from 1 species